UGGAUGAACUUUUUAACUCAAUAUCAAUAUUAACAGUCAUUUCUAAACCUGUAACUCAUAAACAAAGAAAGAAAACCAGAUCAAACAACAAGAACCUCAACCUUUUACAGAGUCUGCAUUUCAUAGUGAAAAAAAAAAAAAAAAUACAUACGAAUAAGAUGUAACUGCAUAAAUGCCUAGAUCAACAAAAGUAUGCAAAAUGGAGAAUUUGAACUCAAAUUCAUCCAGGAAUGCAGAACAAAUAACUUACUAU
rnacentral:misc_RNA from 1 species